rnacentral:rRNA from 1 species
UACAGAGGUCUCAAGCGUUGUUCGGAUUCAUUGGGCGUAAAGGGCGCGUAGGUGGUUCUGUAUGUCUACCGUGAAAGCGUACGGCUCAACCGUAUUUUGUCGGUGGAAACUGCAGGACUUGAGGCUGGGAGGGGCUGGUGGAAUUCCCUGUGUAGUGGUGAAAUGCGUAGAGAUGGGGGAGAACACUCGUGGCGAAGGCGGCCAGCUAGACCAGUUCUGACACUGAGGCGCGACAGCGUGGGGAGCAAACAGG